rnacentral:rRNA from 1 species
UACGUAGGGGGCGAGCGUUGUCCGGAAUUACUGGGCGUAAAGGGCGCGCAGGCGGCCGUGUAAGUCCGCUGUGAAAGACCGGGGCUCAACCCCGGGGUGUCAGCGGGGACUGCUCGGCUGGAGUCCCGGAGGGGGAGGCGGAAUACCUGGUGUAGCGGUGGAAUGCGUAGAGAUCAGGUGGAACACCGAUGGCGAAGGCAGCCUCCUGGACGGGUACUGACGCUGAGGCACGAAAGCGUGGGGAGCGAACGGG